ACAGUGGAUGAUCUGCGUGUUAUAGUGCUGCCAUUUAAAAGCAUUAUGUCUGGUGUGUGGCUGGUUUUACAGAUCCAUGCAUACUGGAAAGGUGCCGGGAGAGAGAAGGACAAUUAGGUGCAUCAGAUAAUAUGUCAGAGAUUCACCUUUCUGAAACUCAAAGAUGUCAGCCAGAAGCGGCACCAUUCCUGGGAGAGCGAGAACUAGAGCUUUAAAACCUUAGUUUUAGCAAUAACACAAUGUAUGAUGAGCUAUAAUGCUAACCUUCCUGUGCUAACUUUAUUUAAUUGUAUAUAUUUCAAUAGAAAAAUCAAGCAUUAUUGUACAACUAAAAUGUGGUUUUGCUGAUUCUUUGAACAAUAAUUUGUAUAAAUAAUUGCAUAUGAAAAACUUAUCUUUACAUUAUUGUUCAU